CCUGGUGCCUUAGAUGGUAAAGCAUCUGCCUACAAUGCAGGAGACCCGGGUUCAAUCCCUGGGUCAGGA
rnacentral:tRNA from 1 species